UGGCGGACGGGUGAGUAAUGUCUGGGAAACUGCCUGAUGGAGGGGGAUAACUACUGGAAACGGUAGCUAAUACCGCAUAACGUCGCAAGACCAAAGAGGGGGACCUUCGGGCCUCUUGCCAUCGGAUGUGCCCAGAUGGGAUUAGCUAGUAGGNGGGGUAACGGCUCACCUAGGCGACGAUCCCUAGCUGGUCUGAGAGGAUGACCAGCCACACUGGAACUGAGACACGGUCCAGACUCCUACGGGAGGCAGCAUG
rnacentral:rRNA from 1 species